GACCCCUCUUUCCUUGCCAUCGUUCCUUUUCUCUUCAAAUCCCUACCUUUUCUCUUCGCAGCUUCUUCCCUCUCCGCCGCGAGCAGGGAGCCGCGAACAGGGAGGAUCUCUUCUUCCCUCUCCGUAGAGACUAGGGAGGAUCUCUUCUUCCCUCUCCGUAGAGACUAGGGAGGAUCUCUUCUUCUUUCUCACUGGUUUUAUUUCUCUCCGCAAGUUGAUCCUCAAACCCUAGCCAAAAUGGUGAUCUCUAAUUGAAGAUCCAAGCGUAAUUCUACGAUGUGGCACUUCUUCCUCCUCAUCAUUGGCAUCUUUCCUAUGGCAUUCUUUAUCCUCCUCCCUUCCACCGCCACAAUACCGGUGGUGGCUGGUAUUGAGUAGAAUUCGUCAUCUUCGGACUCUGAUUUGUACUAACCUAGCCUCUAUUUUUCAUGUAGAUCGAUGUUGACCCUCUGAUCAAACCUCUUAAACACGCGAGCGGAGCUGAUACUGAAGUAGGCGGAGACCACGCCACCGUUGCCUCUACCUACAUCUCAUACGCGCGUCGUCUCAAUCUAGAGUGAUCAAAGCAUAUGCGGGUCUUCUCUGACGGGAUCUCAUAGCAUUGUGGAAAAUUGAUAUGGAUGGGAAAGUGAAUGAAGCAGUUGAGAUAUGCUUUGGGUCUUUUCACCGUUAUGCACAAUAUAUGAAUUUCUCACACCCCUUGAUCAAGGAGAAGUUUGAACUUGAUGCGUGGAGGAAGGAAAAAUGCAUUGAAGCAGAAUCUUAAUAAAAAUUGAACACUAUGAAAAUUAGGUACACUUUUACUCGAAUUGAUCACAAUCUACUCGACAACCACUUGACUAGAAAUAUAUCUCAAGGAUUUUUGUGAGCUUGUCAAUCCUCUACCACCAUUUGACUAGAAAAGCAAAUAUGAUAGCUUGGACUUAUCAUCUGGAGGAUGCACUUGGAGGAAUGAUAGUUUGGCCUUUUCAUCUGUUGACAAUAAGAGAAAACUACUAUUCGUGCAUAUGGAAUGAUACUUCAUCUAUUUCUCAUUUGGUGACAAGUACUUGGAUUUUGCUUAUAAUAUGAUGGUUGAAGAUGAUUCAUAUUAAAUUAGUUGAGUUUUUAUUGUACAAGACUUUGUUUUUUCUAAAACUUAAUAUUUUGAGUUCAUUUUAUUAGUAUUUAGUUAGUUUUGGAAUCAAUACUUUUAUAUUAGUAUUGCAUUUGUAAAUUUGACUCAAAUGAUUAUUGGAUGAAUAAAAAUUACAUGUGACGGAUGUGAUAAA